rnacentral:rRNA from 1 species
AUUGAACGCUGGCGGCAGGCCUAACACAUGCAAGUCGAGCGGCAGCACGGGAGCUUGCUCCUGGUGGCGAGCGGCGGACGGGUGAGGAACACGUGGGAAUCUACCUAUUGGUGGGGGAUAACUUGGGGAAACUCAAGGUAAUACCGCAUUAUCCCUACGGGGGAAAGCAGGGGACCUUCGGGCCUUGCGCCGAUAGAUGAGCCCGCGUCGGAUUAGCUAGUUGGUAGGGUAAAGGCCUACCAAGGCGACGAUCCGUAGCUGGUCUGAGAGGAUGAUCAGCCACACUGGGACUGAGACACGGCCCAGACUCCUNACGGGAGGCAGCAGUGGGGAAUAUUGGACAAUGGGGGCAACCCUGAUCCAGCCAUGCCGCGUGUGUGAAGAAGGCCUUAGGGUUGUAAAGCACUUUCAGUGGGGAGGAAGGCUUCUGGCUAAUAACCGUGGAGUACUUGACGUUACCCACAGAAGAAGCACCGCUAAUUU